ensembl:lncRNA
AGGAGCAACUCUAAACUCCGCCUCCUCUCAUCUCAGACAACAACGUCCCGGACGAAGGAUUAAAGGAAAGCUGUAACUAUCAGAACAACUUGGAUUGAUUAUAGGAAAACGCCAAUGAUCACGUGCUGAAGACAGACCGGAGCUUUGAUCCACCCUGUACGGUGACGACAUCCAGAAACGAGCUCCCCUGAAGAGGAAAUGGACGUGAGCACAAUGAUGGACAGGCCGAGGUCACCAGGCUGUGAGUCUGCAGCGAGCAACUGGUCAGCGGAUCGACCUAUUGACUUUAAAGGACAGGUGAACCCAGAGGUUAAAAGGUAAACAAUCUGCUGUGUGAACUGCUUUACGUUGUAGCAGCUUUGCUCAUUUCAAUUGAGAA